rnacentral:rRNA from 1 species
GACGUAGGGCGCGAGCGUUGUCCGGAUUUAUUGGGCGUAAAGAGCUCGUAGGCGGCUUGUCGCGUCGUUCGUGAAAACCUGCAGCUCAACUGCAGGCUUGCGGUCGAUACGGGCAGGCUAGGAGUUCGGUAGGGGAGACUGGAAUUCCUGGUGUAGCGGUGAAAUGCGCAGAUAUCAGGAGGAACACCGGGUGGGCGAAGGCGGGGUCUCUGGGCCGAUACUGACGCUGGAGGAG